rnacentral:lncRNA from 1 species
CUGUUUUUUGUAAGGGCCUCACUCUGUUACCAGGCUGGAGUGCAGUGGUAUGAUCAUAACCCACUGUAGCCUCAAACUCCUGGGAUCAAGCCAUCCUCCCACCUCAGCCUCCUGAGUAGCUGAGACUACCGGUGCACACCACCGUACCAGCCAAGAUCUGCUUACUUCUCUUUAAAAUGAGGGCUUACGUGGUCUUAAUUUCUCCAAGAUCAGGUGGAAAAGGCAUCUGGGUUAGAACGGGGGAAACUUUUCAAAUCUAUGUUCCUCAUAUAACAGCUCUACUGUUUGCAGUAGAGACACAUAUCUUCCUAUUAAUAAAACUUGGGCCAGGCGUGGUGGCUCACACCUGUAAUCCUAGCAUUUUCGGAGGCUGAGGCAGGAGGUUCCCUGGAGUCCAGGAGUUCGAGACCAGCCUGGGCAACAUAGUGAGACCCUGUCUCUACAAAAAUAAAAAAAUAGUAAUUAUUAAAAAAGGAUGUUUCAUUCAGAAUUUCUAUACUCAUAUUUGAAAAACAAUGAAUAAUUCUUGUCAGGUGUGAUAACACUACUCAUGUAUGGAAUAAUACACUGCAAUUUGCCUUUCAAGUUUUAUUGGCAUAGCCCUUUUGUACUUGUUUCACUGUAGAUGAGCACGUCUGAGAAAGAUAUCAUUGGGCUACAUUUUGAAUAAGAGACUAGGUAGAGGGGAAUCAUUAGGAAGUGUUUACUAUAGUCUUGUCUCUGUCCCCUUAGACCUUACAGGAAACCCAAAGAUAUUCCCCAAGGUGGACUGGUGCAACACUGACUGCCAGAGUAUUUAACCACAACAUGACAUAGGACAAGCCCUCUAAUACUAAAGUACCUGGGAAACAUUAGUCUGUUGCAUAAUGAGCAUGAAGUUAGGACAGAGAUACAGAUGGUCCUGAAAGGCAUUUCCACUUAUCCACCCUCGUUCUAGACAGCUUACUGAUGGACUCCCCUGUGCCAGGCUGUUCUGUGCUCCCUGCAAUUUUACUCACCUUCUUUGCACUUUACUCUCUUAAACAGUGGGACCAUCACUGGCAACACUCUAAUCUUCUUAAUUUAAUCCAAUCCCAUAGUCCUUGGGAUAAUCUCUCUGCUGUAUGUUAAUUUUACAUUUAUUUCUCUAUUCUCUGAGUUUUGUUAAGUCACUGAGUUAUGCCAAUGUAGUUUUAUUGAGUUAUGCCAAUAAAAUAUGUGCUGAUAUUUCCCCUAAAAAAAUUGGCAAGUAUUUGGGGAAAGAUUAAUACUCAUGAAUUCAUGAGAGAAAAACUGGGUGCUAACUAUGCAGAAUCACUAGGGUAUAAUAAGGGUUAAAACAAUCAGGAUGGAUAAGAGUAACCAGAAAAGGACUUCGAAAAAAUAGGAUUUAGAUAUGAAGCUCUAAUUUGUGACUAUACCACUUGGUCCAUCAUGGGUAGCCACUCUCAUCUUCUGCCCCAUUCAAACCACAGACACAUACGACUGUUCAUUCAUUUUUUGUCAAAUCUUUGAGUUGGAGCCAGGCACAGUGGCUCACACUUAUAAUUCCAGCUACUCAGGAGGCUGAGGCAGGAGGCUCAAUUGAGGCCAGGAGUUUGAGGCCAGCCUGGGCAAAAUAGCAAGACUCUGUCUCUCUAGAGAAAAAAAUUAAAUAUCUCUCUAGGAAAAAAAAGGUUUUAGUGCCUACCGUGUACCAGACACUACCCUGGAGAUACAUCACUGAGCAAAACAGAUGAGUAUCUGCCCUCAUGGAGCUUCUGUUCUUUCUAGUGGGGAGAGACAAACAAGACCCUAUAUACAAACAUAUAUAUGUGUGUGUGUAGUCUGUCAUAUAUGGAAAAGUGCUUUGGAGAAAAAUAAACGGAAAAGGUAGAAUAGGGAAUGCUUGUGGGCAGGGAGCUAUUAUUGGAUAUGCGAUGCUUAAGGAGGCCUCGCCAAAAGAUGGAAUUUGAGCAGAGACCGGGAGGUGGUAAGGAAAUAGCCUCACUGGAGACUGAUAAAACAUUCCAAGCAGAGGGAACAGCAAGUGCAAAAUCCCUGAGGAACAUGCGUGGCAAGCUUGAUAAACAGAGGGGAUUAUGGUGGUGUGAACAGUCUGAAUAAAAGGAGAUGAGGUCAGAGAAAAAGCAGUGAGAGGGAGCAGAUCGGGUAGGGCCUUGCUGGUCUAUCUAGACUUUGGCCUUUAUCAGAGAUGGGAAGCAGCUGGAGAAUUCUACUCAAGAGGAGAAUCUGAUUGACAUUUUGAAAAUAUCACUGGCUGAUAUAUUUAAACUACACUAUACUACAGGGACAUAAGGGCAGACAGGAGGAAACUCAUUUGAGGAAAUGUACAAUAAUCUAGGCAAGAGACAGCAGGGGUGAACUGGGGGGCAGCAGUGAAAGUGGUUGGAUUCUCAAUCAAUCUAAAGUUGGAUCCAACAAGUUUUGAUAACUUGGAUGUGAUUUGUGACAAACAGCAGUCAAAAAGGAGCCUUGAGGCUGGGUGUGGUGGCUCAUGCCUGUAAUCAAAACACUUUGGGAGGCCAAGGCAGGAGGAUCGCUUAGGGUCAGGAGUUUGAGACCAGCCUGGGCAACACUGGGAGCCCCUAUCUCUACAACAAAACAAAACAGAACAAAAACAAAUUAACCAGGUGUAGUGGUGUGCACUGGUAGUCCCAGCUAUUCGGGAGGCUGAACUGGGUUGCCUGAGCCCAGGAGAUUGAGGCUGCAGUGAGCUGUGAUCAUGCCACUGCACUCCAGCCUGGGUGACAGCAAGACCCUAUCUAUCUCUUUAAAAAAAAAAUGUCCACAGUUUCCAGCUGAGCGACCAGAAGGAUGGAGGUGCCAACUACAGUGGUUAGGAAGACUUGACAGGGUUUACAGAAAAUAGGAGUUCAACAAUUAGAUGACUGACAUUCAGAAGAGAGUUACAAACUGGAAACAAACAUUGGGAGAUGUUAAUGCACAGAAAAGACUGAAUUGAGUUAGAGAGAAAGGAGAUCAAAAGAUUGAGAUCUGGGAAAUCUGCAAAAACAACAUGAAAUGACAUGGCCAGAGAAGUAGGAGAACAUGAGCCGGGCACAGUGGCUCACGCCUGUAAUCCCAGCACUCUGGGAGGCUGAGGUGGGCAGAUCACUUGAGCCAAGGAGUUUGAGAUCAGCCUAAGCAACAUGAUGAACAUAAAAACACAAAAAUUAGCUGGGUGUGGUGGCGCAUGCCUGUAGUCCCAGCUUCUUGAGGGGCUGAGGAGGGAGGAUCACUUGAGCCCAGGUGUUUGAAGCUGCAGUGAACUGUGAGACACGCCACUGCACUCCAGCCUGGGUGACAUAGCAAGACCCUUUCACCACCACCACCACAACAACACCACAGCAAACAAACCAGGGCUAGGGAAUUAAUAACAAAGUAAAUACUAGAUAGACUUUACGUAUUAUUUUUAUACUUAUAGCACAGUGCCAAGGCUUACUAAGAACCACCUAGGGACUAUAAUGUAGUAAGUCUAUUUAUUUAAAUUUGUAAACUAAAGAAGACUGAAGACUGAGGGGCACCUUUCUCUUCUCACUUUAUUAUGGUUUGAAUGCAUGUCCCCCAAAGUUCAUGUAUUAGAAACUUGAUCCCCAAAGCAGCAGUGUUGGGAGUUGGGCAAUGGGAGGUGUUUGGGUCAUGAGGGCAUGGCUCUCAUCAAUGGAUUAAUACCAAUAAGGUGGGGGGUGGGGAGACACAGUGCUGUUCCAGGGGUGGGUUCCUUAUAAAAGGGCGAGUUCAGCCCUCUCUUGACCUUCCAUCUUUGGCCAUGGCAUGACACAGCAACAAGGCCCUUACCAGAUGCCAGCCCUUUGACUGGACUUCCCAGCCUCCUGAACUUUAACUAUAUUUUCAGUUCUCAUCACAAUCCUAGGAAGCAGAUACGCUUAUUAUGCCAAUUUCAAACGUGCUAUAAUCCUAGCAUGUUGGGAGGCUGAGGUGGGUGGAUCAUUUAAAUCCAGGAGUUUGAGAGUAGCCUGGGCAACACAGAGAGAUCCGUAUCUAGAUGUAAUUAAAAAAAGAAAAAAUUAGCUGGGCAUGGUGGCAUGUGCCUGUGGCUAGGGCAGGAGGAUCACCUAAGCCUGGGAGGUGGAAGUUGCAGUGAACCAUGACUGCACCACUGCACCCCAGCUCUCAAAAAAAAAACAAAAUGAGAGAAUAACUGAGUUAACAAGUCUCAUUGUUUCUCACCUACUUUAAAAAACAACUUUACAUUCCCCCUUUUUUUUUUUUGGAGACAGGGUCUCACUCCAUUGCCCAGGCUGGAGUUGGAGCACAAUGGUGCCAUCAUAGCUCACUGCAUCCUCUAACUUCUGGACUCAGGCAAUCCUCCUGCCUCAGCCUAAGCAGCUGGGAUGAUGGGAAUAUGCCACCACCCUGGCUAAUUAAAAGAAUUUUUUUUUUGUAGAGACAGGGGUCUCACUUUGUUUCCAGGCUAGUCUUGAACUCCUGGCUUCAAGCAAUCCUCUCAGCUCAGCCUCUCAAAGUGCUGGGAUUACAGGCAUUAGCCACCAUACCCCACCUAACAUUCAACUUUUUUUUUUUUUGAGAUGGAGUCUCACUCUGUUGCCCAGGCUGGAGUGCAAAGGCACACUCUCAGCUCACUGCAACCUCCGCCCCCCCGGGUUCAAGCAAUUCUCCUGCCUCAGCCUCCUGAGUAGCUGGUAUUAUGUCACACACCACCACACCUGUCUAAUUUUUAUAUGUUUAGUAGAGACAGGGUUUUACCACGUUGGCUAGGCUGGUCUUGAACUCCUGACCUCAAGUGAUCCACCCACCUUGGCCUCCCAAAGUACUGGGAUUACAGGUGUGAGCCACUGCACUUGGCCACACUUACUUUUUUUUUGGAGAUGGAGUCUCGCUCUGUUCCUCAGCCUGGAGUGCAGUGGCGCGAUGUUGGCUCACUGCAGCCUCCGCCCCCCAGGGUCAAGCAAUUCCCCUGCCUCAGCCUCCCAAGUAGCUGGGACUACAGGUGCACGCCGCCACCCUCGGCUAAUUCACAUUCACUUUUUAAUUUUCGAGUAUCAAUCAUUAAAAAAAAUUCCUUUCAUACAUAAAUACAUGUUGAUUUCCAGGAUUUCAAACCAUCUACUUAAGUUUUAUGCCUUAAUAGGAGUUGCUAUUCAGGACUUUAAAAAGAUUUUCGAACCUUCACAAUAGCUCAAUAUUCAAAGCUUAUUUCCUAAGGCUAAACAGCACAAAUAAUUUACCCAUGUGGCAAUUAAGAUACUGAAAAGUACCAAAUCUUGACAAAACCUCUGCUGAACUCUAUUUGGCACUCAAAUUGGCUUCAGGUCUAAUUUUAUGUGUUUGGAAAUUUUGGAUUUGAUUCCACCCAUAUUUGGCUUCUGCUCACAAUUCAUUUUUCACAAACACAGUAAUUCUCAUUUUAUUUUUUUAUUAAAUUUUUUUUUAAAAAAGUAGAGACGAGAUCUCACUAAGCGUCCCAGGCUGGCUUCAAACUCCUGGCCUUCAGUGAUCUUUCUACCUCAGCCUCCCUAGGUGUUGGGACUGGGCAUGAGUCACGGCAAUGGGCCAGCCAUAACUCUCAAUGCAACACACAAGUUACAGAAUUCAUAUAGUUAACAGGCACAUUAAAUAGCUUUAUCUCUUCUGCCUAGUGUCCAUUUAGCAACAUCACCCCAUCCCCCUGCCACUGACUAAUUCUAUAAGCACAUUUUUACAUACAUUUAAAACUGGAUGUCUUAAUUCCUUGUACCACUAUUGCUAAGCCCUCACUGCUAUUUUACUGUAUAAGAAUAUAACUCUUCUUACUUUUAUAAACAGCCUUUGAAGAACUGCCAGAGAAUUCAGAUUAUUUAGAUUUCUGAAACACAGUAGCAAGUAUGUAAACUCCCAUUUGGCAAUACCUUUACUUUCCUAAAAACCACAAGUGGGAGGCUGGGCGUGGUAGCUCACCCCUGUAAUCCCAGCACUUUGGGAGGCCAAGGUGGGUGGAUCACCUGAAGUUAGGAGUUCGAGACGAGCCUGAACAACAUGGUGAAACCCUAUCUCUACUAAAAAUACAAAAAUUAGCCGGGCGUGGUGGCGGGCGCCUGUACUCCCAGCUACUUGGGAGGCUGAGGCAGGAGAAUCUCUUGAACCUGGAAGGCAGAGGUUGCAGUGAGCUGAGGUCAUGCCACUGCACUCCAGCCUGGGCAACAAGAGUGAGACUCCCUCUAAAACAAAACAAAACAAAACCCACAAGUGGGCUAAUCACAAAUAUAUUUGAAUAUAUGUACACCCUUAAUACUACCAAUUACUACACACUACUAAAGCAAUCUAGGCAGAUCACAAUUCAAGUUCCUAAGAAUGCGACCAUAAGGAAAAUGGUCGGGCUGCAAUGAAACACCUUCACAUCAAUAAUUAGAAUGCUGGAUGACAACCCCAACAGUCGAGACCCAAACUGACUUGGCCCACCAUUCCAAGCACUCCUAAUAGCACUAAGGAAUCACUCAGGGCAGGCCGGGCGUGGUGGCUCACACCUGUAAACCCAGCACUUUGGGAGGCCAAGACAGGUGGAUCACGAGGUCAGGAGAUCGAGACCAUCCUGGCCAACAUGGUGAAACCCCGUCUCUACUAAAAAUACAAAAAAUUAGCCAGGCAUGGUGGUGGGUGCCUGUUGUCCCAGCUACUCAGGAGGCUGAGGCAGGAGAAUGGCGUGAACCCCAGAGGCAGAGCCUGCCGUAAGCUGAGAUCGCGCCACUGCACUCCAGCUUGGGCAACAGAGCGAGACUCCAUCUCAAAAAAAAAAAAAGAAAGCAGUCACUCAGGGCCGACCACUCUCCACAGCUCCACACAGGUUUCCUUCCUCUAGCUGCCCACCAAUUGCCUGUUCUAGGCUUUGCCCAAACCAUUCAGCGUCUAAUUACUUCUCUCACAGUUUGCGUUUAGUAUCUUGAAACGGUGGCCUGGCAAAAACGCUGAUUAAAAACCAAGCAAAAGCCAGGAUUAUCUUGAGUACGCACCUGGGAAGCUAUGGAAGCUGAUCAACCUCCGCCCGAGGAAACCUAGAAGCACACACAACACACAAAAACUAAGCCAUCAAUGGCACAAGAAGGCAUCUCUGAAACAGCAAUCCAAUGCUGCCAUCUACUGGCCAUGCGUGUUGAACACCUCACAAAAACUAAGCUAAUUUAGCAGCUGAUUUUCAUUAGCCUUCUUAGAGUAGGUUCCAGAAUACCUGGCCAUCUUCAAUACAAACGAGAAUUCACACAAGAUAACCACCAACAUAAAGCAGCCUGGAUGUUGGAUAUACAAUAUAUUUAUUUAAUAUAUAUUGAAGGAAUCAAUAAAGAUUCAUAGCAACCAGGCUUAGCUCUAUGGAUCAACCAAUGGCUCUCCUUUUCUUAUACCUGGCCCAUUUCUCCUACUUAGGGUACCCUUGGAUAUUUGCACCACAAUCUCUGUCCUUUACUCAUGAGACUUUAAGCCUCCCAAGGGCAGGGACUGUUUCCCUUAUUUACCAUUUCCCCCAGGAUCCAGCCCAGUGCUUUAAACAAUGUUAAUAAAAGAUGGCAAGUGACAGCAAAGUACCAAGAAAUUCUGUCAAACACUGAUGGAGGACCACCUUUUAUUGGUGGAGCAUUUUAUGGUAUACCAAGCAUUUUUACUUGCUGUAACCAGUUACCUGCUCAAGAACCUGUUGGCCAUUAUUUACACCACUUUAUAGAUAAGAACACUAAGGUUCAAAAGUGUAAUGAGGUCCUAAGUCACCAUUAAACGUAACUCUAGGCCAGGCGCGGUGGCUCACGCCUGUAGUCUCAGCACUUUGAGAGGGCAAGGCAGGUGGAUCACCUGAGGUCAGUAGACCAGCCUGGCCAACAACCCUGUCUCUACUAAAAAUACAAAAAAAUUAGCUGGGCGUGGUGGCAGCCCUGUAAUCCCAGCUACUCAGUAGGCUGAGGCAUGAGAAUCGCUUGAACCUGGAAGGCAGAGGUUGCAGUGAGCCAAGAUUGCACCACUACACUCCAGCCUGGGUGACAGAGCAAGAUUGUCUCAAAAAGAAAAAAAGUAACUCUUUCUAAAUUUUUGUGAAACUGUGGUGUGCGCACCCAUCAGCUAGAAAAUCAAAACUCAAACAAUGUGACACGUCCCCUGAAGGUCCAUCUGGCAAAUGAAUGCAGCCACCUUCAAAUUUUGCAUGAUGUGGGCUUAUAUGACAUGAAUUUCCAGAUCCUAGAGACUGGAUUCUAAGUGCCAAUUUAGGCAGAAGGAUCGCUUGAGCCCAGGAACUCGAGACCCGCCUGGGCAAUGUAGUGAGACCCCAUCUCUUAUAUUAAAUUUAAAAUAAAAAUAAAAAUAAACUAAGUGCCAAGUUAAGAAGGUAUUACUUUCUGGCAGGAGUCAAAUAUUUUAGUUAGUGACCGACCAGUCUCCAAGUCUGUUAUUGAGUGCCACUGACUGAAUAUGACAGGCCUGCCUCGAGUACUGAGCCUCAUAGCUAAAGCCUCAGCUCUCUCCAGGAAGUUCGGCCUGCGGUUCCGCAGAGGCAAGAAAGUCUUAAAGCAAGGACUCAAGUUAGGCUGCCUGAAUCCAAAUCCUGGCUCCACUGUUUACUAAUAGGAUCCUGAAUAACUUAUUUACCUCUCUGCUUCUUCAUUAUCUUCUUCAUAUAGGUGGCAGUCACAGACCAGACAAGAAAGCUGAAGCGUCAUCCAGACAAGACUGAACCAUACCUUCAGCCAGGACAGACUCAUAUGGAAAAGCUCUCUAAAGAGAAGGGAAUCCCCUCCAUGAUAAAUGCUUAGUUUAACAUGUUCGACUGGUGCUCAAUUGUCUAUUGGCUGACAAAUCAUUUCCACAAGCUGGGCUUUUCUAGCACAAUCCUCUGAAAUAAAAAUGUGAAAAAGCAAAACCUAAAAAUCUGGUGAUCUCCCAUCACUAACAUUUCUGGGACACUUGGAAAAAUGACGUGUUUUUACAGUGUGAGUGGAAAUAUGAAACUAUAAGGCGCCUUCUGCUGACUGUACAGAGUCCUCUCUAGAUCAGGGAUCUACCGACUGUGACCCAUGAGCUAACUCUGGCAGCAUCCUGUCUUUGUGCUGCCUGCAAGCUAAGAAAGGCUUUUAUAUUUUUAAAUGGUAGGGGGAGGGGGGGAACCUUAAGAACAGUAAUAUUUCAUGACAUGUGAAAAUGAUAUGAAAUUCAAAUUUUAAUGUUCAUAAAUAGGCCAGGCGCGUUGGCUCAAGCCUGUAAUCCCAGCACUUUGGGAGGCCGAGGCGGGCGGAUCACGAGGUCAGGAGAUCGAGAUCAUCCUGGCUAACACAGUGAAAUGCUGUCUCUACUAAAAAUACAAAAAUUAGCCGGGCUUAGUGGUGGGCGCCUGUAGUCCCAGCUACUCGGGAGGCUGAGG